rnacentral:misc_RNA from 1 species
GAUGAAGAACGCAGCGAAACGCGAUACGUAAUGUGAAUUGCAGAAUUCAGUGAAUCAUCGAAUCUUUGAACGCAUAUUGCGCUCUCUGGUAUUCCGGAGAGCAUGCUUGUUUGAGUAUCAGUAAACACCUCAACUCCCUUUUCUUUUUUGAAAUUGGAGCUGGACUUGAGUGAUCCCAACGCUUUCUUCCAAGAAAGUGGCGGGUUGCUUGAAAUGCAGGUGCAGCUGAACUUUUCUCUGAGCUAUAAGCAUAUCUAUUUAGUCUGCCUAAAAAACAGAUUAUUACCUUUGCUGCAGCUAACAUAAAGGAGACUAGUUCUUGUGCUGACUGAUGCAGGAUUCACAGAGACAGCUUCGGCUGACUUUGUAAACUCGAUCUCAAAUCAAGUAAGACUACCCGCUGAACUUAAGCAUAUCAAUAAGCGGAGGA